CUCUGUUCUUGCCACCAGCACCACUCUGCUCUGUCUGCCCUGGCUCCAAACCCCUCCUCCUCUCCCUCACUCUGAUGAGCCUCCCUCUUUGCUGCCCCCUCCCUACCUUGCUCUUCUUCAUCUCUCUGUACAUCAAGCUUUUCUCUACUUUUCUCCAGUUCCUUUUCUCCUCCUGUUUUUCUUAUCCUUUUUUUUUUUUUUUUUUUUUCCACUUUUGCUGUCUCUUGGCAAAUCCUUCACCCAUCCUCUACGCUACCAUCUGUUAUGGCCUUUCUCAUUCUUCUUUUCUCUGUCUCAGGUUUUCUACUGCUCUCUCUCUCAGUCUCCCGAUCCCUUUGGCCAACACAAUCACAGGAGGGCUUUGAAGUAAGAUGCCUGCAUCCCGGAGGAGCGCAUUUUCCAGAGGCUGGUGCAGGGCAGGCAAGAACACACGGUGUCAUAGGACAGCCCCGGGCACCUCCCCAACGCGGGCUCAGGAGAAACGGUACAGAAGCGCCUGGGACCCGGGAAGCGCAGACUUAACACAACACAGAGCAAAACUCACCCCCGCGGUGGGACCGUCACUCCACGCGACCCGCUUCCGG
rnacentral:lncRNA from 10 species